CCUACGGUGGGCUGCAGUGGGGAAUAUUGGACAAUGGGCGAAAGCCUGAUCCAGCCAUGCCGCGUGUGUGAAGAAGGCCUUCGGGUUGUAAAGCACUUUCAGUGGGGAAGAAAGCCUUGGGGCUAAUACCCUCGAGGAAGGACAUCACCCACAGAAGAAGCACCGGCUAACUCCGUGCCAGCAGCCGCGGUAAUACGGAGGGUGCGAGCGUUAAUCGGAAUUACUGGGCGUAAAGCGCGCGUAGGCGGUCUGAUAAGCCGGUUGUGAAAGCCCCGGGCUCAACCUGGGAACGGCAUCCGGAACUGUCAGGCUAGAGUGCAGGAGAGGAAGGUAGAAUUCCCGGUGUAGCGGUGAAAUGCGUAGAGAUCGGGAGGAAUACCAGUGGCGAGGGCGGCCUUCUGGACUGACACUGACGCUGAGGUGCGAAAGCGUGGGUAGCAAACAGGAUUAGAUACCCUAGUAGUC
rnacentral:rRNA from 1 species